rnacentral:rRNA from 1 species
UACGUAGGGGGCAAGCGUUGUCCGGAUUUAUUGGGCGUAAAGAGCGUGUAGGCGGCCAUGCAGGUCAGCUGUGAAAACUCGAGGCUCAACCUCGAGACGUCGGUUGAAACCGUAUGGCUAGAGUCCGGAAGAGGAGAGUGGAAUUCCCGGUGUAGCGGUGGAAUGCGCAGAUAUCAGGAGGAACACCAAUAGCGAAGGCAGCUCGCUGGGACGGUACUGACGCUAAGGCGCGAAAGCGUGGGGAGCGAACAGG